rnacentral:rRNA from 1 species
UACGUAGGUGGCAAGCGUUGUCCGGAUUUAUUGGGUUUAAAGGGUGCGUAGGCGGUCUAUUAAGUCAGUGGUGAAAUAUCGCAGCUUAACUGUGAGGGUGCCAUUGAUACUGAUGGACUUGAGUGAAGUCGAAGUAGGCGGAAUUGACGGUGUAGCGGUGAAAUGCUUAGAUAUCGUCAAGAACACCGAUGGCGAAGGCAGGUCUCUGGGCUAACACUGACGCUCAUGCACGAAAGCGUGGGGAGCAAACAGG